rnacentral:lncRNA from 1 species
AUGGCCCUGGAGAUGGUGCUGAAGGACCUGGGGCAUCUGCAGGCUUGUUGGCUGUGUUUGCUGGUCAAGACUAUAGACCAGUUUGAAUAUGAAGGUUCUGACAACUGUAACACCUAUCUACAGACGAAGAGUAACUGAGAUGGUAUAUGACUGCACUAGCUCUUCCUUUGAUGGAAUCAUUGCAAUGAUGAGUCCAGAGGACAGCUAGGUCUCCAAGUGGCAGCGAGUCAGUAACUUUAAGCCAGGUACAUAUGCGGUGUCAUUCACUGGUCACCUGCCCCAAGGAAUCGUGUAGGAGCUGAAAAGUCGAGGAGAGACCUACAAAUCCAGAGACACAGCU